CCUAAUAAGUUAGUCAAUUAGUUGUAAUACUGGAUCUGUGGUUCAAUGUUCUGAACAGUGUCACCACCAAAACUUUCUGGAGAGAAGAUAUCUUUGCAGCAGAUGGGUUUCUAUGUGUGUGUGUGUGUGUGUGUGUGUGUGUGUGUGUGUGUGUGUGUGUGUGUGUGUCAGACAAAAUCUGAUAAGAAGCUAAACAAAUCGGGGUAAAGACUGGGUGAAAGAGCACGAGGAACUAAGGGUGCAGAGCAAAGACAGAGAGUGAAGAGAGAAAUGAGAGAUGAUGAGAUGGAAAAAAAAACGGCAGAGUGCUCUAGAAGAGGAC